rnacentral:rRNA from 1 species
AUUGAACGCUGGCGGCAUGCUUUACACAUGCAAGUCGAACGGUAACAGGCCGCAAGGUGCUGACGAGUGGCGAACGGGUGAGUAAUGCAUCGGAACGUGCCCAGUCGUGGGGGAUAACGCAGCGAAAGCUGCGCUAAUACCGCAUACGAUCUAUGGAUGAAAGCGGGGGACCGUAAGGCCUCGCGCGAUUGGAGCGGCCGAUGUCAGAUUAGGUAGUUGGUGGGGUAAAGGCUCACCAAGCCAACGAUCUGUAGCUGGUCUGAGAGGACGACCAGCCACACUGGGACUGAGACACGGCCCAGACUCCUACGGGAGGCAGCAGUGGGGAAUUUUGGACAAUGGGCGCAAGCCUGAUCCAGCAAUGCCGCGUGCAGGAAGAAGGCCUUCGGGUUGUAAACUGCUUUUGUACGGAACGAAACGGUCCUGGUUAAUACCUGGGGCUAAUGACGGUACCGUAAGAAUAAGCACCGGCUAACUACGUGCCAGCAGCCGCCGCUGUAA